GUGCUCACUUCAGCAGCACAUAUAUGAAAGUCAGAAUCGAAACAGAGAUUAGCAUGACCUCUGCACAGGGAUGACACACAAAUUCCUAAAGUGUUCCAUAUUUUU
rnacentral:snRNA from 1 species